rfam:Myotis lucifugus cont2.34619, whole genome shotgun sequence.
GGAGGUUCUCAGGUGAUGCAUCCCGGAAUUGGGCUUCCUCCUCUCUGGUUCCAGAUGCAUUACCAGAGAACCGCA